GGGAAUUUCAGAGAAACCACAAAACACAAAAUAGGAAACAGAGACAGGAGAAGAUUGCUAUGACAAAAUUGCAGAAGGUGAAAUCUUUGGCAGCCUCUUAUUUCUCUGGAGAAUAUGAUAUUGUCAGGCUGAGGUGGAAGAAUCACAUGGUCAUACUGUUGAAGAGGUCUUGAAACAUUGAGCUUUCCUCUACAAGCAGAAGGAUAGCACUGGCAGCCAUCCACUGGCCCACCAAUAUCCUGGAUUGAGACGAUAUCAUUUGCAUUACUUGCUGAAUGAAACAUAGUGAAAAUGACUGCAGAUAACCUCAACUAAGUCCAAGAUACCAUUUUCAAAUCUGGACCAGCCCUUGCCAUCUAGACUGAACAGAGAUUCCAGUUUCCAGGAGAGUAGAUGGAGUAAUGAUAAAAGCACCUCCCAAAACUUUUGCCUUGGUAGGUUUUAGAUUCAGGAGAUAUCCGGGUUUCCAUUCCCUUCAAAUUUUCAAUGACAGUGACUUCCAGUUCCCCACAAAUUUCCCUUGAUUUCCUGACCAUAGAGCCACAUAUUCAUGUUCUUUCCAUCCAUAUAUUAAUACAUGGGUAUAAGCCAAGGUAUAGGACUUCAAGCACUUUGCAUGGAUGCCCAGUCCAUCUCACUGACUGUGUAUUCUCAAAGCUUACCACUGGGCCUUAAGCCCUUUAUUGAAUGUAAAGCAUUCAAUAAGAGUUUAAGGGCUCUUUUCUUUAUUUCUGCCACAUCCAGAAUGCUUGGUUUAGUUAGGAUCUGAAGAGGAAUUGUAUUUAAACAUCUCAUUUAGACCCUUCUAAGGAAAAUGCCAAGAAAAGAAGGUUGUGAUCUUUUUCUUGGUAGUUUCAUAAUAGAAAGUCUUAAGAACAGUUACAGUUGUUG
rnacentral:lncRNA from 1 species